GUAUUGUGUGAAAGAAGAGAGGUUAGCAAUCCCCUUGACAAGGAUGGAAGAGGCUUCGGCCUGCAACACGCAUAGGGUUAAGGCACUUCCACCUACUUUGUGGUAUCUAACCAAUGUUUUGG